GGAAGGGGUGUAUUUAUUAGAUAAAAACCAUCCUCCUCGGAGUUUGGUGAUUCAUAAUAACUUCUCGAAUCGCACGGCCUUGUGCUGGCGAUGCUUCAUUCAAAUAUCUGCCCUAUCAACUGUCGAUGGUAGGAUAGAGGCCUACCAUGGUUGCAACGGGUAACGGGGAAUAAGGGUUCGAUUCCGGAGAGGGAGCCUGAGAAACGGCUACCACAUCCAAGGAAGGCAGCAGGCGCGCAAAUUACCCAGUCCCGACACGGGGAGGUAGUGACAAUAAAUAACAAUGCAGGGCCCUUUUGGGUCUUGUAAUUGGAAUGAGUACAAUUUAAAUCCCUUAACGAGGAACGAUUGGAGGGCAAGUCUGGUGCCAGCAGCCGCGGUAAUUCCAGCUCCAAUAGCGUAUAUUAAAGUUGUUGCAGUUAAAAAGCUCGUAGUUGAAGUUUGGUCUCGGACGCUGGGUCUGCUUAAUUGCAUGUACUUGACGGUCCGAGACUUCCUUCUUGGUGAACGGCCGCCUUCGGGUGGUCCGGAACCAGGACUAUUAC
rnacentral:rRNA from 1 species